ACCCUUAACUCGGAUAAAUGUUUUACAGUUGGAAUAAAGGGGCAACCGAAACAGAAGUGUACUGUGGUCAUCCCAGAGACCUUCCGUAUCGGUUCGCGCUCGUGUCCUGCAUUGAAGCGCACAGACGAGUGGAAGUAUUUAGGCAUAACAUUCACUGCACAAGGGAGGACCAGGUACAGUCCAGCCGACGACCUAGGUCCGAAGCUGUUGAGGCUGACAAGGUCCCCCCUAAAACCACAACAGAAAUUGUUCGCACUCAGAACAGUUCUUAUCCCACAACUUUACCAUAAGCUGACCCUAGGUAGUGUGAUGAUAGGUGUUCUGAGAAAGUGUGACAUACUGGUACGUUCGACCGUAAGGAAGUGGUUAGGGCUUCCUCUGGACGUGUCAACUGCAUUCUUCCAUGCUCCUCAUACUUAUGGGGGCCUCGGAAUCCCUUCAGUUCGUUGGGUAGCGCCAAUGCUACGUAUGAAAAGAUUGAGCAAUAUUAAGUGGGCCCACCUCGCGCAAUCCGAGGCGGCCAGCUCAUUUCUUACCGACGAAUUGAAUAAGGCCCGGGGUAGAACUCUGGCUGGACUGAAUGAGUUGACAUCGCGUACAGAGAUCGAAACGUACUGGGCGAACAGGUUGUAUAUGUCUGUUGAUGGUCGCGGCUUACGUGAAGCGGGACUUUUUCGUCCCCAACACGGCUGGGUGUGUCAGCCCACGCGUUUGCUAACAGGUCAAGAUUACCGAAACAGUAUCAAGCUGCGAAUAAAUGCCCUACCAUCGAGGUCUCGUACCACGAGGGGCAGAAAUGAAUUGGAACGGCAAUGUCGUGCAGGUUGUGAUGCUCCCGAAACAACAAACCACAUCCUGCAGAAUUGUUACCGUACGCAUGGGAGGCGGGUAGCAAGACAUAACUGUGUAGUCAAUAACCUUAAGAGGAUUCUUGAGGAGAAGGGCCACACAGUACACGUCGAACCAAGUUUGCAGCUGGAAACCUCGGUAAGUAAACCAGACCUGGUGUGUAUCCGUGACAAUCACGCUUGCGUGAUUGAUGCGCAGAUUAUAACGGAUGGACUGUUUCUCGACGAUGUGCACCAUCGCAAAGUUGAGAAAUAUAAAAGACCGGAAGUUAUAUCUGCACUGCGGAGAGAAUUCGGAGUGUCGGGCAACGUCGAAGUCCUAUCCGCGACGUUAAACUGGCGUGGGAUCUGGAGCAAUCAAUCCGUUAGAAGAUUGAUAGCAAAGGGUCUCAUCUCAUCCGGUGACAGCAAUGUCAUUAGCGCCAGAGUGGUAACAGGCGGACUAUAUUGCUUCAGACAGUUCAUGUAUCUCGCAGGUUACACUCGAGAUUGGACUUAGCCUAUACACUAUGUUGGAGAGAAGACGCUUGCUACCUAGGCAAAAUGUGAAAUUAGGUAUAAACAUCGUGGUUGUAAAACUUGAGGUGGGUUUUUAGUACGUAUGCGUGAUUACUUCGUAAUCAUGAAUCGUGCAUGCUAGUGGGGUUUGGCCUCCACUAGUAUCUUUGAAGAUUUUCCUUCCUCAGCGAUCAAAAAAAAAAAAAAAAAAAAAAUAGCCAAAUGCCUCGUCAUCUAAUUAGUGACGCGCAUGAAUGGAUUAACGAGAUUCCUACUGUCCCUAUCUACUAUCUAGCGAAACCACAGCCAAGGGAACGGGCUUGGAAUAAUUAGCGGGGAAAGAAGACCCUUUUGAGCUUGACUCUAAUCUGGCAGUGUAAGGAGACAUAAGAGGUGUAGCAUAAGUGGGAGAUAUUAGAUUUCGGUUUGGUAUCGACAAUGAAAUACCACUACUCUUAUUGUUUCCUUACUUACUUGAUUAAAUGGAACGUGUAUCAUUUCCUAGCCAUUAUACGGAUAUAUUUAUUAUAUCUUAUGGUAUUGGGUUUUGAUGCAAGCUUCUUGAUCAAAGUAUCACGAGUUUGUUAUAUAAUCGCAAACAAAUUCUUUAAUGAGAAAAUGCAUUUAUGUAUUUUCAAUUUGAAAAUUUGGUAUAACUCCAAUUACUCAGGUAUGAUCCAAUUCAAGGACAUUGCCAGGUAGGGAGUUUGACUGGGGCGGUACAUCUCUCAAAUAAUAACGGAGGUGUCCCAAGGCCAGCUCAGUGCGGACAGAAACCACACAUAGAGCAAAAGGGCAAAUGCUGACUUGAUCUCGGUGUUCAGUACACACAGGGACAGCAAAAGCUCGGCCUAUCGAUCCUUUUGGUUUAAAGAGUUUUUAACAAGAGGUGUCAGAAAAGUUACCAUAGGGAUAACUGGCUUGUGGCGGCCAAGCGUUCAUAGCGACGUCGCUUUUUGAUCCUUCGAUGUCGGCUCUUCCUAUCAUUGUGAAGCAAAAUUCACCAAGCGUUGGAUUGUUCACCCAUGCAAGGGAACGUGAGCUGGGUUUAGACCGUCGUGAGACAGGUUAGUUUUACCCUACUAAUGACAAAACGUUGUUGCGACAGCAUUCCUGCGUAGUACGAGAGGAACCGCAGGUACGGACCAAUGGCACAAUACUUGUUCGAGCGAACAGUGGUAUGACGCUACGUCCGUUGGAUUAUGCCUGAACGCCUCUAAGGUCGUAUCCGUGCUGGACUGCAAUGAUAAAUAAGGGGCAAUUUGCAUUGU
rnacentral:rRNA from 1 species